AAGCUCGAAUUUGAAUAGACAGGGGUCAUAAUUGGGUCAGCACUAUCAAGGUGGUUUACAAUUGCUGUAGAACAUCUAAGUGGCCAUGGUAUAAGCACAAUACCUAUCUGCGCCAUAUAGAAAUUAAUGAACUUGGUGGAGGAAAUGACAUACUCUUCACAUUCUUUGGCCUCCACCUACUGUACAUGUAGUGCAUUAUGACCAACAUAUUUAACCUCUUCUAGAAGCACCAGAGCACGCCUAAAAAAAUCUUUUUUUUAAAUUUUUAAAUUUUUCUCUAGUGAUUAAUGGCCCCUGUGGCAUUAAAAUGACAUCAUAUAAGCAUCCAUCGCACACAAGGCCCAUAUAGAGGGUGUAACACAGGACCAUUAGUCUGAGCCAGACAGAAAUAGCUUGAUGGAAAAACAUCUCCGUUUUGUAUAGAACUAUUUUACCUCUCUGUUGCCUUGGCCAUCUUUUAUCUUGACUUCGAACCCUUUCUUCUUCUGGUAUGCAAUUUUCUAGGUGUGAGGAUGACUGGGCCUCUUUUCCGAAGAGAGAUAAAUGAUGAGUCAAAUCCUUAAAACGUUUUACAAAAGGGAACUAAAUGAAACAGACCUUGCGUUUUUGUUUUAAUUAUUUACAUUUUAGGAUGGACCGUUUAGUGUGGCCAUCAUUUUCAAAAUAUUCCAGGGAGCAUAACGAAAUAGGAGAACAACUAUCUUUUUUACCCUAUUAUUUGUAACCAAAGAAAGUCACUACUGAUGCCCUAUCAUUUGCUGCCAGGGUUGAAGUGAAGAUAUGGAAGAUUAGAGGGCCAUGGGUGUAAUUAUUUUUUCAAUUAUUUUUUUCGUGAUCACAAAAUACUUUUUGUAAACUAUUCUAACAAGUCUCUGUUGAUGAUUCUCAGUGUGAUAACAGAAUCAUUAUUAUGUGAUCUUGUCAUAACAUAAUAGGCAGGGGCUUAGAGUCUGCUGGGGCUGGUCAAAGCUGUAAUAUUCAAAAAUACUGUGGACUUGAUAAGUAUACUACAUCCAUAAACAUUUCGUCCUACAAUAUUCCUUAUAGUAUUACUAGUAGUAGAGAGUUUUCCAUUGGUAGGAACCAUUUGGGCUACAGUAUAGUUAUCUUGCACGAGCUGAUCAUCGAUCAUUCUCAUCUAUCCAUCCUGGUCGCAGUUACGGCAGGCUAAGCAAGGAACACACGCGCAUGCGUCUCGUUAGCCUCAUACCCCAGCUAAUACCCAGAAUUCCGAGAAAUUCCCCAGUUUGGUGGCGCAUGUAUUCCCAUCAGCAUGCUCUUUGUUCAUUAGCCAAUUUUGUCUAAAUGAUCAUGAGAAGUCAAUUUUGUAGGUUUAGUCAAUUUUGUUAUCACGAAAAAACAAAGCUUGUUCAUUUUGACAGUUUUCUUGGGAUUUCAAGAAAACUAAAAAGCAUCAAUCAUCUUAACAACCCAUGUGCUCUACUGCCUUCUGUACGUAGACGUCUAGGAAGAUAAAAGAUUUUUGAAAGUCUUUCUCCGGUAAUGAAGAAAUGUAUAUGCAGCCCUUCUCCACCCCCCCUCCCCCCUUCUUUGAAACAUACUCUGUACAAUUAGGUCUAGUUUCCUCACAAUCAAAUACACCCUCUGUUAAGUUUCACAUAACCUUAUGAUAAAUAUACUCUUUAACUUAUUUUUGUUGUCUUAUCAUAAUAAUAUGUAACACAUGUAAAUAGGGUAUGUUGUGCUAGAAAGCCACUGAGCUUUUUGAGAUGCCAGAAGGAAGACUUACAGUAAUGGUAAAAACACUUGAAUGGCAAAAAAAAAGAGUUGAUAAUAGCCUCAUUCAGAGGAAACAAACAGUGGCCAGUUGUGAAUUUAUCUUUAUUAACUUGUCAA